GCACGCAGGCGUAGGGUGCGGCGAGGCUGUGCGCAGGCGCAGCCAAGAACUCCGCCCCGGAAUUGGGGCUGGACGGAUUGCGGCUCUGGAAUGUCGGCGGCCUGGAUCGAGCGUGCGCAGGCGCAGUCAGUGGGCGUCUCGAGGGCUGUCGGGGCUUCCUUGUGGCGUCUGCACCCGGGGCGUUCUCCCGCCGGUCGCUGCUCCGCCUACGUCCAGGCUCCUCCCGGCUGCCUGAGUUGCGCAAUCCGUAGCCGGGGAAGCGCUACGUGGAGACCGCGCUAAGUGGAAGCCGAGCUCUGGAGCUGGGGAACAGGAGGGCGGACCUUGAAUAGAUGCUGGACAUUCCUCAUCAGAAACCUGAGGAGGAUACUAAAAAGACAGCCACAAUUUUCCUUCUGCUUGCUGCCAAAGUUCUUGAGGCCAGCUGUUGGGAUUGAUCACUGGACCCAUAUAAAGCAAUCACAAUAGUUGGAAGUUUUUCAAACUGCAAAUCAUGAUCCAUUAAAAGGUCAUAAUAUGAAUUCAGUGGAACACAGCCAACCUUAAAAACAGUGACAUAGAAUAUAUAGAAAUGUCAGCAUUAAACACAAUAAGGUUCUACCCCACCCUCAGUAACAGCUCCAAAUCUCCACCGGCCAACUCAUCCCCCACCUGUCACUUUGGAUCCCACCUCAAAGACAAGGCUCAUCAGCAUGAACUCAUUCCCCACCUACAUCUUCCACCUAUGGCUGCAUAUGGAGAUCACGUUCCUCUCCUCUUCUCUGCCUAGGAGGAAAGAGUCCCUGUCUGUCUGCAAAGUUCACUGCUCUCCUGUGGCCUGACACCCAGUAUGAAUCUGCUUGCCAGUUACCCUGUUGCUAUCAUGGCUCCUUCCCUCUGUAUAAUAAACAUGUCCAACUCGCUCGUAUUCCAAGAAAACCUCUUCCCUCAGGCCUGCCUCUGGACCCAUCUUCCCCACCCUUGGGGCUUGCUUUCACCACCACACAUCUUAACAGUCUAUCCACUUGUCAAAGCCACACAUCUCCACCGCCGUCACCUCCGGUUCUGGCUUCUGCGUCUCCUACCCCAUGGCUGGUGGCCACUGAUGCCAAAUGUUCAGACCCAGUGGAUCUCCCCAUCCAUUUCCUAUUCACAUCUGAGCAAGACGGCAGGAGGAUGGCCGAAGUGACCUCUCGAGGGGGACUGCCGGUUCAGUCUUCUGAUGUUUUUUUCAGAGAGCCGAGACUUUCAGACAAAGACAUUUUUCAUCUACCAGGCUGCAUAUUUUUACUUAGAUAUUUAAAAAAGCAAUCUCAAGCUUUCCGAAAGAAAAUGUAACAUAGAUGCCAAAUCAGAUGAGAACUAACACUUGGUAUCAACAGGAAUAUAUUUGAAUUUAAAAAGGCUAGCUGCAUCUGACAGCAGUGUGUCUCAGCUAAAGUCUAAGCUGGAGUGGGGGGGUGGGGAAGAGAAGAGUCUUCAAUAAAUAAAUGUUUAUUAAGACGAGGGCAGGUGAUAAGUAGAGUGACUAUCAUGUGACGCAUAGAGAGUCAAGGAAGGCUUCACAUCAGAAGUUACAGUUGGGCUGGGUCUUAUAGGGUAGGUAAUUUCUGGUAAAUCCAAGUUCACUGAAGGCAGAGGGAACGGCAUGUGCAGAGAGCAGGAUGUUUGGAAAAGAACUGACAUUUUCGGGGAAUAAUGAGCAUGAUACUUUGAAGCGUCUUACGGUCUCUAGGAUCGAGUGCUGUCCUCUGUAUCACAGCCCUGGGAGAGCUGCAAUUGUAAUUUUUGUUAAACUCAGGGCUGAAGACCCUCCAAAUGUGUAUGAAGAACCAAUUUCUUGCAUCCUUUCCUAAAUCCAAUGUGAGCUUUCAGAUGGACAGAGGAAAGGUGUUCACAAUCAAGGCCAUCUUUCCCCAGGGUGGCCAGGAUCAACAGAGGUGGCUAAUGGUCCAGCAAGCCCCAGCACCUCCUGCAGUACAUCUUCCCCACGUUGCACCUCUGGCCUCACUAUUCAUGAACUGUCAGAAGAAAGGGGCUGCAUGUAUCGUUCCUUGUCACACAGUGACUUCCACCAAAUAUUUGCUCAAAAAUAUUGGUUAAGUGCAGGGGUUAACAGGACCUGCAUCUUGUGCUUUGCAAAGGAUGGAAGGUUUCUGACCACUCCCCACCCCCACCCCCACCUGUUUCCGAAGGAACAUUUCUAUGAAGUUCCUGAUUAUGGUAGAGAUUGUCAGCUCAGGUGGCCUUCCUGGGCACACAGGUAGACAAGACCACACACUUAACCCCUUUCUUGUGAUUAGAUGGGGCCACGUGGCCAGAGAAGUGAGAAGUGAUAGGUGCUAUUUCCUGGAGGAGGCAUUUGAGGAAGUGUAUCAGCCAAAGCUCUCAACAAUGAUCCUAGGAUUCGUGUAUUGAAAGGAUAGCAUCAUUAGAUGAGUGUGGAUUCCUGAGUCACCAGACGGAAGCAUACCUCACACUGACCCUCAUGAGAACAUAUGGAAGAAUUAAAUCUCUAUGGUUCCAAGGAGUUGCCCUGUUGCAGUCCCUACCAUGAUUAAUGUAUCAGUAUAUUCCACUUACUUUCCAUAAAACAAAGUGGGAGUAUGGAUUAGACAUCAACUCAAUACACUGUUAUUUGAUGGAGGCCACAAGAGAACAGCUGUCAAUGGACAAGUUCUACGUCACUUUCUCUCCUUUAGAAAAACACAAAGAAACUUCUCAGCUUGCAAUUUUGGAAAAGGUUGAGUAUCUCUUGAGCAUUUGAAAGUAAAUGUGAAUGUGAAUGGGA